rnacentral:rRNA from 1 species
CACGUAGGCGGCUUUGUAAGUUAGAGGUGAAAGCCUGGAGCUUAACUCCAGAACUGCCUUUAAGACUGCAUCGCUUGAAUCCGGGAGAGGUGAGUGGAAUUCCGAGUGUAGAGGUGAAAUUCGUAGAUAUUCGGAAGAACACCAGUGGCGAAGGCGGCUCACUGGACCGGUAUUGACGCUGAGGUGCGAAAGCGUGGGGAGCAAACA